AGAGCGCUCUUAAAUUUCCAUCAUCUUAUGGAAAAGAGACCCGAAGCACUCAAAGCAUCUCAACCCGCAGUGCCUACCUCACAUUCCUCUUUUUAUCACACCUACCUCACGUUUUUCUAUGACUGAUAGCUGUCAGUGGGAGGAACUCUUUAAGGGAAAUUUCAGUCAUUUUUGUCAAAUUCUGAAACUUGGCUUCAUUUUUUUUUAUUUGAUAAGGUGGAAUUUGGGAAAUUCGUUUUGACAGACAUCUGGCGGUGGAUUGGGGUUCUUUGGUUAAUCUUGAAGUUCAUUUGCUGAAGCUUUUCCUGAUGUUCUAUGCCUAUGAUUCUGACCUUACUUUGUCAGGCUAGCUAGUUGAGGGAAUUGAAUUCCAAAUGCUCCAACUCCAAUCAAGAGUAGUGGAAGCAAAAACAUUGAUUCAAAGGCAAAGUCUGAAUUUAAAGCUUACGAGUUUGGGAUUCUAGUUCUUUUAAUUGAUUAGGGAAUUGAAAUCUCGAAGGCUCCAACUCCAAUCAAUAGUAGAAGAAGCAGUGUAAUUGAUUCAAAGGCGGAGCUAGAAUUUGAAGCUUACGAGUUCGAAAUUCUAGUCCUUUUAUGUAAUUGUUGAUUCAGUUAGUUGGAUUAGGGGACUGAAUUCCUAGGACUCCAACUCCAAUCAAGCGUAGAAGAAGCAAUGUAAUCUAUUUAUAAACGGAGCUUACGAGUUUGGGAUUCUAGUCCUUUAAGUUAUUAGGCUUUAAAUUAAUAAUUUUUGCAAGUUCGACUUGUCGAGCUCGUCCAAGGAGAUGUUGGGGAUUGCACCUGGCAGCCGCGUUCACUCGUCAUAGGAUGUAAACACUGUCAAGGGCUCAGACACAGAGGACAAUGUUGGUGAUGAUGUUACGGGGCCCAUGGCUUUGGUGCAUCUAGGACCUAAUAAUGAUGUGCCCGGAGCUGCUGAUGGAGGGUACGCUGAGGAGGAGGACUUCGACUGACAGGGAGUUUUCUUUUCGCCCUACUCUGUUUUACAUUUUUAUAUGCAUCGGAGACUAUGCAUAAACUAAGUGUGGGGUAGGCGGAAUACAACCUGUGAUGUUUGUAUAUCCUGUAACAAUUUGUUUUAAUUCGUUUCUUUUAUUAGUUUUACUUAGUCUAGUUUGUUUAAAAUUUUUUUUUUUUUGAAAAGCUCGAACUUUUCUCGACGAUGGAUCUGUUGGUCAAUUUUCUUGAGGGAUAAAGUCCGAUUAAAAAUACCAUAAAGAUUUUUUUUAGGAUAGUUAGGUUGUA